GACGAACGCUGGCGGCGUGCUUAACACAUGCAAGUCGAACGGAAAGGCCCUGCUUUUGUGGGGUGCUCGAGUGGCGAACGGGUGAGUAACACGUGAGUAACCUGCCCUUGACUUUGGGAUAACUUCAGGAAACUGGGGCUAAUACCGGAUAGGAGCUCCUGCUGCAUGGUGGGGGUUGGAAAGUUUCGGCGGUUGGGGAUGGACUCGCGGCUUAUCAGCUUGUUGGUGGGGUAGUGGCUUACCAAGGCUUUGACGGGUAGCCGGCCUGAGAGGGUGACCGGCAACAUUGGACCGGGAUUCCGGCCCAACCUCUACGGGAGGCAGCAGUGGGGAAUAUUGCACAAUGGGCGGAAGCCUGAUGCAGCAACGCCGCGUGCGGGAUGACGGCCUUCGGGUUGUAAACCGCUUUCGCCUGUGACGAAGCGUGAGUGACGGUAAUGGGUAAAGAAGCACCGGCUAACUACGUG
rnacentral:rRNA from 1 species